UACGAGGGGGGCAAGCGUUGUUCGGAAUUAUUGGGCGUAAAGGGUGCGUAGGCGGGCAGGUAAGUCAGUGGUGAAAUCUCCGAGCUUAACUCGGAAACUGCCGUUGAUACUAUUUGUCUUGAAUAUUGUGGAGGUAAGCGGAAUAUGUCAUGUAGCGGUGAAAUGCUUAGAUAUGACAUAGAACACCAAUUGCGAAGGCAGCUUACUACACAACGAUUGACGCUGAGGCACGAAAGCGUGGGGAUCAAACAGG
rnacentral:rRNA from 1 species